rnacentral:snRNA from 1 species
AUGCUCGCUUCAGCAGCACACACACUAAAACUGGAACAAUACAGAGAAGAUUAGCAUGGCCUUCACACAAGGAUGACACAUAAAAGUUAGAAAACAAUAGGAAAUUU